UACGAAGGGGGCUAGCGUUGUUCGGAAUCACUGGGCGUAAAGGGCGCGUAGGCGGCCUGAUAAGUAGGGGGUGAAAUCCUGCGGCUUAACCGCAGGGCUGCCUUCUAAACUGUCAGGCUAGAGCACGGUAGAGGCAGAUGGAAUUCCCGGUGUAGCGGUGGAAUGCGUAGAGAUGCGGAGGAACACCGAUGGCGAAGGCAGCCCCCUGGGCCAAUACUGACGCUCAGGCACGAAAGCGUGGGGAGCAAACAGG
rnacentral:rRNA from 1 species